rnacentral:rRNA from 1 species
GACGUAGGAUCGAGCGUUGUCCGGAGUACUGGGCGUAAAGCGCGCGCAGGCGGACCGAUACAUCGGCGGUGAAAGCCCCCGCUCAACGGGGGAGGGUCCGUCGAGAUGGUCGGUCUGGAGGCAGGGAGAGGCCAGUGGAAUUCCGGGUGGUAGUGGUGAAUGCGUAGAGAUCGGAGGAACACCAGUGGCGAAGGCGGCUGGCUGGACCUGACCUGACGCUGAGG